CCGGAACUUGAUUUCCGGCGAGCUUAACGGUCCCAAUUUCAUAAGCGGAACGUUCGAUUAAGACAGCGAAAAUUCUCCGUUACAAGACUAGGUGUGCUGGUGCUGCUGCAUAAUCUCGAGCAUACGGGGACUAGGCUUGGGUAUUUACAUUUAAAGCAUUUUGAAAUAAGUAUUAUUGGUUUUUCUAAGACUUAUAUAUGGUUUGUGGUUUGAAUGAAAGGGGUCAUUGAUGAUUCCCGAGUUGUAUUUAUAUUUUAA